AAAUAGGAUUCCUUAAGUAAUGGCGAAUGAACAAGGAUGAGCUCAGUAUGAAAAUCGGGGCCUAUGGCUUUGAAUUGUAGUCUUGAGAUGUGUUGCCAGCGGAGGCGCAGAUGUAAGCCUCUUGUGAAAAGAGCACCAACGAGGGUGAUAGUCCCGUUUGCCAUCUGCAGCCCCCCGUGUACGGCGCAUGUUCUAAGAGUCACGUUCCUCGGGAUUGGAGCGCAAAUGGGUGGUAAAUUUCAUCUGAAGCUAAAUAUUGGUUCGAGACCGAUAGCAAACAAGUACCAUGAGGGAAAGGUGAAAAGGACUUUGAAAAGAGAGUUAAAAGUGCCUGAAAUUGCUGAGAGGGAAGCGAAUGGAACCAGCUUUGCUUGGUGAGAUUGUUGCAUGCUAUAGCUAUGGCUUGCUAUGGUAACGCAAGUGCCCUAGCUUGCCACCAACUUGAUGCAUGCGGUGGUUCUUGCUUUGUGUGUCAGCUUUGGUGCAGACCUGAUGAAAACUGUAGGGGCAAGGUAGCUCGUCUCCGGGUGAGUGAAUGCCCUUGCAAGAAAUCACGUGUGCGCUUGACAUGGCGUGCCUCAUUUGGUGAGCCACAAGAUUGAUGACAAAAUGGUUCCAUACGACCCGUCUUGAAACACGGACCAAGGAGUCUAGCGUAUGUGCAAGUUCACGGGUGUCAAACCUGUUUGCGUAAUGAAAGUGACUGCUGGGAUUUCUGCACCAGCAACCGACCAAUCAAUUGAGAGAGGUUUGAGUAUGAGCAUAUCUGUUAGGACCCGAAAGAUGGUGAACUAUGCCUGAGAAGGGCAAACUCAGGGGA
rnacentral:rRNA from 1 species